rnacentral:rRNA from 1 species
GACGAACGCUGGCGGCGGGCUUAACACAUGCAAGUCGAACGAAGAGCUAGGGACUCGCGCUGCACUCAAGCUUAGUGGCUGACGAGGUGGCCAUGCGUAAUGAACCUCCCCUUCAGAGGGGGACAAAAACUGGAAACGACUGCUGGGACCAAGUACGAUCGACUCUCGGCAGCCAGGAUAUGGGAAAGGUGGCUGCUACGUGUAAGCUCUAACUAAAGGAGGGGCCUGAGUCUGAUUAGCUAGUUGGUGGGCUAACGGGGCACCGAGGCGAUGAGCAGUAGCCGGCUUGCAAGGAUGCACUGCCAAACUGGGACGGAGAGACGGCCCGCACUCCUACGGGAGGCAGCAGUGGGGAAUCUUCCGCGAUGGACGAAAGUGUGAAGGAGAAACACCGGGUGAGUGAUGAAGGCCGCCAGGUUGUAAAGCUCUGUUAAUCGGGAGGAAAGGACUUCUUGCGAAUAGGGAGAAGGAUUGACGGUACCGGCAUAGAAAGCCACGGCUAACUCCGUG